CCUACGGGCGGCAGCAGUGAGGAAUAUUGGUCAAUGGACGAGAGUCUGAACCAGCCACGUAGCGUGAAGGAUGACUGCCCUAUGGGUUGUAAACUUCUUUUAUAUGGGAAUAAAAUGUUCCACGUGUGGGAUUUUGUAUGUACCAUAUGAAUAAGGAUCGGCUAACUCCGUGCCAGCAGCCGCGGUAAUACGGAGGUUCCGAGCGUUAUCCGGAUUUAUUGGGUUUAAAGGGAGCGUAAGUGGAUGUUUAAGUCAGUUGUGAAAGUUUGCGGCUGAACCGUAAAAUUGCAGUUGAAACUGGCAGUCUUGAGUACAGUAGAGGUGGGCGGAAUUCGUGGUGUAGCGGUGAAAUGCUUAGAUAUCACGAAGAACUCCGAUUGCGAAGGCAGUUCACUGGACUGCAACUGACACUGAGGCUCGAAAGUGUGGGUAUCAAACAGGAUUAGAUACCCUGGUAGUC
rnacentral:rRNA from 1 species